ACUCCAGUGGCAUAGUGGUUAGAGCAUCCACCUCAGAUGUCGAAGGUUGUGGGUUCAAUCCCCCAUCGAGUC